UUUUAGCUAAAAAUCAAAACUUCCAGUGGUUUCAUGUGCAGAUGAAUGCGUCUAGUUCUCUAAAAGCAGCUGGAGCUUCACCUCUUCUCUAACCCACAGUAUUUACAGCGCCGGGCCACCUCGUCCGGGUCGAUGAGCUUGAACUCGCCGUUGGUUCCUUCCCAGGCGAUGCACGACAUGUUGGUGCUGUCCGAGAGGAGCUCCAGGAGGAACUGCC